rfam:Picea glauca, whole genome shotgun sequence.
ACAUGCCUACAACAUAGAGUUAAUGCACCGAAUCCCAUUAGAACUCCACAGUUAAGAACGCUCAGGAUAUAGUAGUACUGGGAUGGGUGAUCGCCUGAGAAGUCCUAGUGUUUUACAUGCC